rnacentral:lncRNA from 1 species
CCAGCAGGACACAGGCUGGCCUGAGGAAGACUGGAAGAAUAAACCAUUUUGUGCUGUGUGUGGAACACCUUUGUACAAGGCAGCCUUUGGCCGCUGUCUGAUGCACUGUUUAUCGUUGUGGGUCUCAGGAAAAGAAGUUUAUCAUGGUUACAACCCUUCUGUGAAACAGCUAUGAAGGAAUGUUGCCAUUGGAGGUUGUCAAAGACCCUUGGAUCUUCCAGGUGACCUGAAGCACAGUUUUGGAUCUCUCAUUUUGCUCUGAUCUGCUAUCUGUAACUCAGUGGCCAGCUCUGUGUCAUCUUCCCCUCAAGAGAGGUGACAGGUGAAUCUCGAGCUUAAAACAAUAGCAUACAUUUCCCGUACAAGACUUUGUUGCUAAUAGAGCUAGACAAUCUGGCCUGAGGCAAAAUAGACGUGCA